rnacentral:rRNA from 1 species
CUGGCUCAGAGUGAACGCUGGCGGCGUGCUUAACACAUGCAAGUCGAACGAGAACGGGUUAUAGCUUGCUAUAAUGUCAGCUAAGUGGCGCACGGGUGAGUAAUGUAUAGGUAAUAUGCCUCUUACUAAGGGAUAACAAAUGGAAACGUUUGCUAAUACCUUAUACUCCUUAUUAACAGAAGUUAAUAAGGGAAAGAUUUAUUGGUAAGAGAUUAGCCUGUAUUGUAUCAGUUAGUUGGUGGGGUAAUGGCUUACCAAGGCUAUGACACAUAACUGGUUUGAGAGGAUGAUCAGUCACACUGGAACUGAGACACGGUCCAGACUCCUACGGGAGGCAGCAGUGGGGAAUAUUGCACAAUGGACGAAAGUCUGAUGCCAGCAACGCCGCGUGGAGGAUGACACAUUUCGGUGCGUAAACUCCUUUUAUAUGAGAAGAUAAUGACGGUAUUAUAUGAAUAAGCACCGGCUAACUCCGUGCCAGCCGCCGC